CGCAUCUUGCGCUCCUUGGUAUUCCGAGGAGCAUGCCUGUUUGAGUGUCAUUAAAUUCUCAACUCUCUUAUACUUUUUUGUGAAAGAGAGCUUGGACUGUGGAGGUUUGCUGGCCACUUUUCGGGGUCAGCUCCUCUGAAAUGCAUUAGCGGAACCGUUUGCGAUCUGCCACAAGUGUGAUAAGUUAUCUACACUGGCGAGGGGAUUGCUCUCUGUAAUGUUCAGCUUCUAAUUGUCUCUACUUUGUGAGACUACUUUUGAAUACUUGACCUCAAAUCAGGUAGGACUACCCGCUGAACUUAA
rnacentral:misc_RNA from 1 species